GAUGAACGCUGGCGGCGUGCCUAAUACAUGCAAGUCGAGCGAACAGAUGAGGAGCUUGCUCCUCUGACGUUAGCGGCGGACGGGUGAGUAACACGUGGAUAACCUACCUAUAAGACUGGGAUAACUUCGGGAAACCGGAGCUAAUACCGGAUAAUAUUUUGAACCGCAUGGUUCAAUAGUGAAAGACGGUUUUGCUGUCACUUAUAGAUGGAUCCGCGCUGCAUUAGCUAGUUGGUAAGGUAACGGCUUACCAAGGCUACGAUGCAUAGCCGACCUGAGAGGGUGAUCGGCCACACUGGAACUGAGACACGGUCCAGACUCCUACGGGAGGCAGCAGUAGGGAAUCUUCCGCAAUGGGCGAAAGCCUGACGGAGCAACGCCGCGUGAGUGAUGAAGGUCUUCGGAUCGUAAAACUCUGUUAUUAGGGAAGAACAAAUGUGUAAGUAACUAUGCACGUCUUGACGGUACCUAAUCAGAUAGCCACGGCUAACUACGUG
rnacentral:rRNA from 1 species